CAAGGGUUCCUACAAGGGUCUGUGUCCAAAGAGCGUGACCGGCCCCAUGGGUACCUGAUGGGCCGCGUGGGGUCUAUGAGCGUGACCGGCCCCCUGGGUGCGUGAUGGGCCGCGUGGGGUCUAUAAGCGUGGCCGGCCCAUGGG